UACGGGGGGAGCAAGCGUUGUUCGGAUUUAUUGGGCGUAAAGAGCGCGUAGGCGGUCCGAUAAGUCGGCUGUGAAAGUCAGGGGCUCAACCCUUGGAAGCCGGCCGAUACUGUCGGACUAGAGUCCGGAAGAGGAGAGUGGAAUUCCUGGUGUAGCGGUGAAAUGCGCAGAUAUCAGGAAGAACACCUAUGGCGAAGGCAGCUCUCUGGGACGGUACUGACGCUGAGACGCGAAAGCGUGGGGAGCGAACAGG
rnacentral:rRNA from 1 species